ACGGCCAUACAAUGCUGAAUAUACCGGUUCUCGUUAGAUCAUCGAAGUCAAGCAUCAUUGGGCGCGGUCAGUACGCGGUCAGUACUUGACCACCUGGGAACACCGCGUGCAGU